rnacentral:lncRNA from 1 species
GUAGUGGGCCGUUCGGAGCCACACGGAGUUUAUUACAGAGAGUAGUGGCAUCAGGGGGCUGUUCAGGGCCACGUGGAGUUUGUUAUGGAGAGUGGAGUGGUGUCCAUUAUCGCGACUUGCCAGAGAGUAGUGGAGCCAUGUGGAAUCUAUUACAGAGAGGGGAGUAGGGUAGUGGCUAUUGUCGUGACUUGCCAGAGAGUCCG